rnacentral:sRNA from 1 species
GCAAGAACUCCUGAAAGAGAAAACACUUGCUGAGCAGAAUUUGGAGGAUACCAGACAACAGCUCUUGGCAGCCAGAAGCAGCCAGGCUAAGGCCAUUAACACCCUGGAGACUCGGGUGAGAGAACUGGAGCAGACCUUGCAGGCCUCUGAGGAGCAGCUCCAGCAGAGCAAGGGCAUCGUGGCUGCCCAGGAAGCUCAGAUACAGGAGCUCGUAAGUGCUUAUUGGAGCUGCUGCAUUCCAAGCCCUUAAUGCUUUCUCUCCAGGCGUUUGCGAUGCUCCAAACUCAUUGCCAACUUCGGCAAUGGUGCCUGGACCUGCCCAUAGAUACAGUUCUUGUGCUGGAUGUGAGCAGGCCAGCAGCAGGGGGUGGAGGGAGUCAGGACCUACUGGUGGGCCUGAGUUACCUGGGAGGUGCACCAGCAGCUCCUUUCCACCUUACAUCCCACUUUCUGGUCCAGCCUGGUCCUGGGGCUGUCAGAGGUGGCAGCUCCACUAGGAGUCAAGCCUCAACUUGCAAUCA